rnacentral:rRNA from 1 species
UACGUAGGGGGCAAGCGUUGUCCGGAUUUAUUGGGCGUAAAGGGUGCGUAGGCGGCCUUUUAAGUCAGAUGUGAAAGGUCACGGCUCAACCGUGGUAAGCAUUUGAAACUGAAAGGCUUGAGUCAAGGAGAGGAAAGUGGAAUUCCUAGUGUAGCGGUGAAAUGCGUAGAUAUUAGGAGGAAUACCAGUGGCGAAGGCGACUUUCUGGACUUGUACUGACGCUGAGGCACGAAAGCGUGGGGAGCGAACAGGAUUAGAUACCCUGGUAGUCCACGCCGUAAACGAUGAGUGCUAGGUGUUGGGGGUCAAACCUCAGUGCCGCAGCUAACGCAUUAAGCACUCCGCCUGGGGAGUACGUACGCAAGUAUGAA